CCUACAUGUGAUACGUGUAAUAAUUACGUUAUAUAACACACGAGACGUAAUUCUCUCUCAAGAUGUACUUACACGACCUCAAGAGAGACGUAUACCGGGUAUUUAGCCAAUGCGGGACUGGAAGACUCUGAAGCGGUUUCAAGUUCUCCUGCCACUCUCACCGCCCACGUGCACACAGUCUGGCACGUCUCUGACGGUCCUCGGAGCACACGUGCUGAGGCCGGCCACCGGCUCUCACUACUCCCUCUACAUGUUCAUGGGAGGGAUCACAGGGCCCUUGCCCCAGUCACUUCCCGCAAGCAUGUGCUUAGGACAUCUCUGCUGUAGCCGCGUUUCCUGGAUGCUCACCUGUGCCCACGGCCGACUCACGGAACCCCGAGAGCACCCUGUGAGGACUUCUCUUUGGCCCUGAUCCGUGGAAGGGACACCGAGGCCCAGAGGCAUCACAUGACUUGCCUGAAGUCUGGCCACAGGGUCCCCGCUCUGUUGGCUCCCCCGCAGCACCCCUGAGCCCCCCUCCCCUCACUGGUCCUGGUUGUGGGGGCCCCUCUCACAGCAGGUGUGCACGAGGCCUGGACCUGCCGUCCUGAAGCCUGGGCCACGCUGCAGGGCCGGUCUCUGAUGCCAAUCCCAGCUUUUGAGGAGGCCGGGUCCUUUCUACUUCCCACGACUGUGGAGCAGCGGAGCGCCUCUCUGGAGCCGACGGCCAGAGGCAGGCCGGCCAGGCCCGGACACACACACCUUCAGACACUGCCCAGGUGUGCCACUGCCCUGACAGGACAGACUUCAUUUCUGCGAGUCUGACCGCCGAAAAAUGGCUUCUCAGUGGCUAGGGUCUACACUGACCUGAUGACCAGUGGUGCGGAUGAUUUUUUCAAGAGUCUGUGGUAUUUCCUCUUUUGUGAACAGCUUAUUCAUAUCCUUGACCCAUUCUCCUCUUGAUUAUCUUUCCUUUUUGGUUGGCAGAUUACGAAUUCUUUUGUAUUAAAUGCUCCAACCUUUUCUCACAACCUGUCACUUGUUUUUACCAGCAGGUGUGGAAUCUCUGCCUUAUGGAAGCCUCCGUGUUACAAGCAGGUCUGUCAUCUCUUCCUCCACCGGCUUCUCUCAGCACUUACUGAGCACGCGGAGUGUCGGGCAGCCCGUGGCAUGUCAGGGACCGGAGGUGCACCACAUGGCCACGGCACCUGCCCUCGGGAUGCUUACACUGCACUGGGAGCUGGGGAGGGCAGGGCAGCGAGCAGCAAAACCCACGUGUGUUGGAAGAGAGAUGCUACGUGGGCUCGGGGCGGAGCGCGUGGUCAGGGCUGGCCGCUGCUCCUGGCCAGCACAGCUGAAGCACAGCCAAGGGCAGCCGGAGGUGAAGGCAAGGCCAGGGGGCGGGGUGGGGUGGGGUGUGAGGAAGGCUUGCCGAGGGCCUCGAUGGCUACUUUAACGACUGGUUUCCACUGUGGGGAGAUGGGAAGCCACUUCCCGGGGCUGGGACGGAGGGAAGGGCCUGACUUCAUUUGUGACGAGAGCUAGGAACAGCCUGCAGGGCAGCAAGGCCAGAAGUCGGGGGGGGGGGUACCCCAGUCUUCGGGGUAAGAGAUGACGGCCCCUUAAUGCAGAAAGUGAUCGGAUUCAUGUUCUACUCUAGGGCAGAGCCAGGAACUUGCCAAUGGAUCGUGGGUAAAAGAAGCCAAGGAUGGCCCGAACCCCUGGUCUGGGCAGGCAGAAGAAUCCGGAUGCCAUCUUCCAGGUGGCAGGCCGCCAACAGGGUCCCUGCCCCACGGCACAGGGCAUGCCUCAGCCUGCUCUCUGGCCCUGGACCUCGCGACUCACAGGCUGCCCCACUCCGUACUGCCGCACGCCCCGCCACGCUGCCCAGUUCACGUCCCGAGACGGGGACUGUAAACGGCGCACACCGUAUCCACCAUCCCUGUGUGAGGACAGUGGGCCCCCUUCGGACCAGGUGCCUGUCCCGCUCUGUGAGCUGCCGGGAGCACGGCGGGGCCCAGCAGGCGGGGCGCCACACUGCCUCCUGCGCCACUAUCCUCUUCCAAAGCCUGUGCAACAAGGAGCACUGUUAAAAAAAGAAGUUCCGACUGAAGAGGCACGUCUCCAGAUCCUUAAAACAGAAGGUUAGCUACUAAACCACCAAAUUAUAUACUUGACUCGCUCAUAAGGAAAGUGACAUCGUAACUUAUCGUCCAGAUCUUGGGACGUUUCUCAGAUCUCAGACGGGUGCCCCUUGCAAUCCCGUCGGCCAGCGGGCAUAACCCGGGCCUUCCUGGCUAACGGAGGCAAAUCACCACCAGGCCCGGCAACGGCCUCAAUCCCGAAGAGAGUGGGCAGGAUUGCAGCGCAGCUCUUUCAGCAGAAGCUGUGCCCAAGUUCAAAGGACACUGUGAAGUCCUUAGGAGAACAACAGCAGGACAGUCACCUAGGCCUCAGAGGCGUCGCAAGAGACAGGAGGCAGAGCUACUGGCCCGGGGCCCCCAUCAGCAUUAAACCAACAAAGUGAAAAACAACACUUUAUAACUACUCUUAUUAAAGUCACACAGAAGAGGGGCACCUGGGGGGGCUCAGUCGGUUGGGCAUCUGCCUUCAGCUCGGGUCAUAAGCCCAGG